GACGAAGGAUGCAAGCGUUAUCCGGAUUCAUUGGGUUUAAAGGGAGCGUAGGUGGUCUUAUAAGUCAGUGGUGAAAUCUCGCAGCUUAACUGCGAAACUGCCAUUGAUACUGUAGGACUUGAGUAUAGUUGCUGUGGGCGGAAUAUGACAUGUAGUGGUGAAAUACUUAGAGAUGUCAUAGAACACCGAUUGCGAAGGCAGCUCACAAAACUAUAACUGACACUGAGGCUCGAAAGUGCGGGGAUCAAAC
rnacentral:rRNA from 1 species